UGCACAGAUAGGAGUGGAGCUAUGUAGAAUAGAUAUUAAUUCAUUUUUUAAAGAUAUUGGUAAAAUAUAUUAAUAGUCCACAUAAUAGAAAAUUCAGGAGGACGGAUGAGUGAUUUAGUUAUUAAAAGUGGUUAAUUAUAGAAUUACAAUUAAAAUCUGAAGAAUCAGGGGAAAGUAUAUAGAAGUUGUAGAAGUUAAUUAAGGUGCCAUCGCUGUGAUAGUUGUGAACCGGGGUAAGCUUGAUGCAACCUCUUUUGUUUGUUAUUUUCUUUGAAUAAGAGGAUUGAGAGUUUCUAAAUAUUGUGAAGUGAAUUAUGGAAUAGAAAUGUGAUUGGUAUUAUUUGAGAAGAAGAAAGAUUGAAUGUUGAAAUCUGAUUGUAGUUCAGCAGAGAGAAUGAGUCUGUGUUUGUGUGAAACACUGUAAUGUGAAUGGCAGUUCUGUGUGAAGAAUUCCAGUGAUUGGAAUGAGGAUAAUUGUGUA
rnacentral:lncRNA from 1 species